rnacentral:lncRNA from 1 species
UUUGUUUAGUUGCACAAACUGUAGUCUGCAUAAAUCCUAAUGGCCUCAAAAUCCUUCAUUUGUUUUAUAAUAACUAGAUGAAGAAUAGCCUGCUUGUGUAUGGAAUAUUUGCUAUAUGAAGAAGAUCUAUAAACUACUCUGCUGUUAUGUUUUUGCUUUUUCCAGCUAAUGGUGAAAUUUUACAGGAAAGGUACUUGGAUUGUCACUCCAUCAUCUUUAUUGCACAGCACUUGAGUAAUGAACACAAAUUAGUACUGAAUGCAUUUAAACUUUAAUUCCAUUUGCAAUCAUGGAAUACACUGAUUUGGAAUGGAUCCACAAAGAUCAUCAAGUCUUACUCCUGAUUAUACAUAGGACUGUAUGAAUACUUCUUUGUUUUUUGGCUUAAAGCUUGCUUUCUGAGGCAUUUCUUGCGAUAAGACUCUGAGUUAGAUGAGAGAUGGGUGUUGCUGUGUGGCAAUCAACAUCACUGUGUGGACCAUUUUACAUUUGAAAGCAUUUCUCUGGAGCUAUUUGCCUCCGGAAGAGAGUGCUCAGGAGUGGUUACUGGUGGAAGAUCUGGCCUGUGACUAAAUAGCCCCAGGUUGGUGUGGGAAAACUGGGGAAUGAUACCAUCGUGUCCUGUGAAAAACACAGGGAUUCAGAUGGACAUCCCUGCUCCCUCUUAUUUGCUGGCAAGGCCCGGAAGAUAGUAACAAAGCAGUUUCUGCUGAAUCCAAGAGCCAGUAGCUGCCACUCCAAGGAGAGCUGACUCAACCACUUUGGAUUUGAGCUGUCACUCAAAAGAGAGCUGAUUUGACCAGUUUUGACUUAUAAAUAAGUUUGUACUGCCAUUGCCGUUGUCGUUGUCGUCUCUGUGGACACUGUUGUCAACAGAACAACAACGCCCGAUGACCCACCACUACUGAAGAUAAGUGACUGAACUACGAACCACGCUGGACCCACGGUGGUGACUAUCAUCUCCCUCUUGCCACCUAUAGAGACUCCUUGCUCCUAUUUCCUAUCUUUUCUGCUGCCCUUCUUCCCUUCCCCAUCACCCUAAUUUGUACCUAUAAAGACUCCUUGCUUCUAUUUCCUGUCUUUUCUAUUGCUCUCCUUCCCUUCCCCAUCACCCCAAUCUGUAAUAGUGUCCGUCCUCCCUUUCCCCAUCUCCCUUAUCAAGAUUUGUAAUAAACUGGUUGGAC